rnacentral:lncRNA from 1 species
AAGAACCCAGCCUCUGGAGAAGCGGUAAGUCCCAGCUCAUUUCCCAGGCUCUUCUGCCCCCUGGGCACACCUGGUACCAGGCACGGACAGGCCCAAACACCAAGGCCAUUGCACAUUUGCUGCCUCAAAGAGACUCACCUUGGUGUCUCAGUUUCCCAAGACUCUUCAGGGUCUGGGGCCCAUGGAACGGGGCUCAACCAACUCCAUGGGGUGGUGUCUUGCUGAGAAAACUGUGGGCUAGGAUCUGUGAGCCAGGGUCUGGGAGGAGUGAGGACCAUUCAUAGAAAGCCUGGCAACUGGGAGCACCUGCGUCCUGCCUGGGAGGACCACAUGGAGGGAGCAGAGCCACCUUCACCCCUCGGGCCUGUUUUCCCUUCUCGUUCUGCCCUGUACUUUGCAAGCCCCCAAGAGAUGGGGUUGGGUCCUGUCCACUGCUCCCCCUCCCCUGUUUUGGCCACCCUUUCUCACUAGGAAAGAAAAUGACCAGGAGGCCACAUUCUCCAGGCCCCCAAAGCCUGCACCAGGGUCUCUCCCAAUCCACAUCAUUCCACCUUUUCCCGCUGCCACUCCACCUCUGUGACCCCUUCUCCUGUCACUCAGUCCUUCUCAGUCCUUGCAAUAACUAAGGAUUCAGCCAGGGUUAUGGCUCUGCC